rnacentral:rRNA from 1 species
CCUACGGGGGGCAGCAGUGGGGAAUAUUGGACAAUGGGCGAAAGCCUGAUCCAGCCAUGCCGCGUGAGUGAUGAAGGCCCUAGGGUUGUAAAGCUCUUUUGUGCGGGAAGAUAAUGACGGUACCGCAAGAAUAAGCCCCGGCUAACUUCGUGCCAGCAGCCGCGGUAAUACGAAGGGGGCUAGCGUUGCUCGGAAUCACUGGGCGUAAAGGGUGCGUAGGCGGAUCUUUAAGUCAGAGGUGAAAGCCUGGAGCUCAACUCCAGAAAUGCCGUUGAUACUGAGGAUCUCGAGUUCGGGAGAGGUGAGUGGAACUGCGAGUGUAGAGGUGAAAUUCGUAGAUAUUCGCAAGAACACCAGUGGCGAAGGCGGCUCACUGGCCCGAUACUGACGCUGAGGCACGAAAGCGUGGGGAGCAAACAGGAUUAGAUACCCGAGUAGUC